GCGGGUACUAUAUACUGCGUUAGGCGGUGCGCGGCGGAGCAAUACAAGAUGGCAGUGGCGAGGGUUGAGUGCUUGCUAGAGACGGUCCACAGAGGGACACCACUACCCAGCUUAGUACUUAAGUGGCUAAUGUGAGGUGUUGAUGGCUGCUGCGUUAGAGGCUCACAAGUACGCCGACGGGCCACGCCUUUACGACAGGGUACGAUGGGCUCAACCCCCGACGGAGCCUUUAAUGUGACCCUUCAGCCAGUGCCUCGACCACCACCACCACCACCAUUACCACUACCAUCACCACCACUACCACCACCAGGCCAUCUACCACGACUCACCGCCCCAGCCACGACCACCACAGCUCUCUCGAGACGACCACCCGCCAUCACUUCUUGGAGCAGGAGGUAAGCCGAGGUGGACGUGCGGCGUGUUUCCCCCGUGGACUGCCGUGAGUAAGCCCUUUGUACUGAUACCAAUUCACCAAAUCCGUAGACCUGAUCGCUUUCCUGGACUUCCUGUGCUCACUUUUCACUGAUUCGAUACAGCUGACAGAAAAUGCCAUGAAUAAACCUUUUAUGUUCACAACGUCUCUGCA